AAACGCUGAAGUGUGACGGAGGGAAGUAGCGCCGAAGAAACGAGCUUUUAUUAUGUAACUAGCUGUGGGUUGAACCAUGGCAGAAACAGCCAAUCCGGGACGAAGGUGGUGGAAGAGGUAACUUCUGAUUGGCCAGAAUAGGACAGAAAUUAGUGUCUCCUCAAUGAAGACUCUUGUAACGCUUCCCCUCUCAGUCCCUCUAUCUCCACUUCCAACUCCGUGCCUGUCCAAACUCAUCAGUCCCUCGAACUGCACAUCCAGUUUUGAUCUUCUAGUCCUUUUCCGCGCUGCGUACCACCCUCAGGUACUUCCUGACCACGCCCCUACCAAAAUUCUUACCUCCAAAGAGUAAGUCACGUGGACCACCUGGAUAUAAUUAGAACAAAUCAAAGCAUUUGAUAAAAAAAUAGUUUAUUAAAACAAUAUCCUAUGGUUGAAAUAUUGAAGACUUUAUAUCCAUGUCUUUUGCAUUUUUUAACAAAUCAUAGAAACAUCUGUCAACUUUCAAGCCAUCAGGAGUUAAAAAUGUUAAAGCAAAGGGCCUCUUGUUAUUCCUUCGAAGUCAAUUUGUUGUUUUUUUUAACUCUUCAGCACAACAGAUCACAAAUUAUAAACAACAUUCACCGUGACACGUACAUGGUGUCAGUGUAACACAAGCAUAUUUACAGCAGUGUCUGUCCAGAAAAACCUCUUCUCAUUUUCUCUCUGUGGUUUGGCCCAUCAUCAAUGAGGAGAAGAUUAUCAGUCAGACUGGUAUGGACACAGUAUGGACAUGAGAUGUUAAAAACUAUAAACCAAAAUCAGACACAGUUUGUCCUCAGGGACACAGACACUGACUGUGAAGGUUGUGUUUAUCAAGAAAACAAAAACAAAAAGAGCUGCAGCUUUUUAAUUUCUGAAUUUCUAUUAUGCUUAAAAUCUACCUGCUUCACGGAAAUACACUCAAGAUUACUGCAACUAACGAAAGUGUGUGCACGUGUGUGUGUGUG